rnacentral:SRP_RNA from 1 species
CUGUGCUAGGCGGGGAGUUAGCGGUGCCCUGUAGCCCGAAAUCCGCUCAUGCGGGGCCGAAUACCCACGAUUGAGGUCUUUUUGCUUCCGGACCCUGUAAGGCACGUGAUGUAGAAGGUCAAGUCCCGCGCAAUGGGAUGUCGCCCAACCCCGUCAGGCCCGGAAGGGAGCAGCGGUAAGUGAUAAUUGCAUGUGCCGCGGGGCAGCUUGGCUGGAAUCGGCGACCUUCAGGUGAAACGAUAGCGAAAGUUCGAAGGUGGGGCACAG